UCAGAUUUGAUUUUGCUCGGGUCUCUAAUUACUGGCUUGGUGCUAUUCUGCAGUCACUCUCUGUCAUGCUGUCAGGGGGGCAAGCGGGCUUCACGGUGGGGUGCCCUGGGUGGAGGUUCUGGAGAGUAUGUUCGGGUGUGGAUGCAGGAGUGGACAGACCUUUGUACGAGCUCCAAAUGUUUAAAAUAUACCUUAGGGUACAUAGGAGAUUUGAGAAUUAUUAGGGUUGCGCGAAAAGUUUUGUUCUUGAGAGUUUGGAAAAGAAGGGCAAUGUGGAAGUGAUGUGCAUGAGAAAACUGUGGGUCCAUGAGGUGUGCUAGGCUCCUGUUUUAUGAGUGGUGUGGAAUUGUUUAACUGUGGAGUUGUGGAAGUGAUGUGCAUGAAUUGGGGGGCUUUGUGCUGAUGAGAGUGAAGUGGUUGGCUCCGUUCUGUGAAAUGUACUGAAGUUUUUGCUUGUUCUCUGCCUUAUAUGGGGGGAGGAGCCACGAGAAGAGGAGGCAGUCGGAGAGUGUGUGACGUGGAGACUUGCGGAUGGAAUUCUGACCCCAACCCUUGAUUUCCACACAGGAAAAAAAAAAAAGAGGCCAGUUUUUUGUUUCAUCCACAAACUCUUUGUUUGAAUGCAUGCUCGGAUAAUGGACGAGAGUUUGUGGAUAAGACAAUGAAACUGAUUUUGCAAAAACUAGGAAUCAAGCAGCGGUUUGGUGCAGUCUAUCAUCCACAAAGUCAGGGAAUUUGUGAAAGAAUGAAUGGAGUUCUGAAAAACCGUAUUAUUAAGAUCUGUCAGCAUACGGGAUUGAAUUGGGUAGCGGCGCUUCCGUUGGCGCUAAUGGUAUGCCGAUCAAGUGAGUUGCGUGAUUUGCAUAUGACACCUCAUGAGUUGCUUACAGGAAGGCGGAUGCCAAUGUCUUGUUUACGUACAAGUGGGAAAGGUCCGAGCUUAUCUCUUUUAGAAGAUGAGAUGCGAGCAUAUGUUACAUAUAUGGAUACCUUGCAUAAAAAAAUAUCUGCGUAUGUUUCUGAUAGGCAAAAGAAAGAGGAGGUGCAGGAGAGACUUGAUGAGCAAAAGAGGGACACAAUACAACCAGGGGACAAGGUGUUCGUGAAGGUGUUUAGAAGGAAGUGGUAUAAUGAACGACGUGAAGGACCGUUUGAAGUUGUUCGCAGUACAGGAACCGCAGUCCAGGUUAAAGGGUCUCCAACGUGGUAUCAUUUCUCACAUUGUGUUAAAGCACCAAGUGAUGAGUUGCCAUGUUCGCAGAGUCAUGAUGAGGGUUCAAAACAGUCAGAAGGGAAUGCAGAACAAUGUGAAGAAAUCGAAAUGCAUAGAGAUUUCUAGAGUCAAAUUUCAGAAGGUGAGAUUGUCCAUGGGGUGGAAGAUGUUGAUGAUGUUGUGUACAUUUCUGAUGAUGCCAGAAGUGACUCUGCAGUUAAUGGACAGGAAAAAAGGUUUGGUGACAUUGACUUCCAAUAUGUCCCAGAACCAGCAGAACCUAUUUCAGUGGAGUGUGAAGCGUCAAAGGCCACAAAGGGCAGUAACUCAGCUGCAGGAUCAUCAGGGGGUUCAGUUAGAAGGAGGAGUCCAAGGCCAGUUCGGAAAAGAGUUAGACCCAAACGGUACGAGAAUUGAGGGAGAAAGGAUUUUAGAUAAUAUAACUCUGCUAGAUGAGUCAUAUUUAACUACAGAAGCUUCUCAGAUAAUUUUGACAACACCAGAUCCUUUAAAGAUGGUAGUUAGAGCUAAAAUAGGAAGAGGGGUUCAUCUUCCCUGUCGAUGUGAGAGAUUUAAUGUUGGAGGUAAUAAUCCUCCUCAGUGGAGAAAUAGUCGUGGUGAAGAUGUGCUGUUAGAGGGACCUGAAGUUGAUGCAGUUCCUCAUGAUAAGAGGAAGUAUCUUUUAUAUAAUGCCAUGAGGUGGUUCAAAGUUAAGAAUGAUUGUUCACUUUUUGUGCGUAAUGUCACAUGGGAAGAUCAGGGAGAAUAUACAUGUACUUAUUUCAAGCAACAUUUUAAGUUUGUGCCAUCUAGUAAGGGGUGGAGAGAAGGCCACAUAACUCGUAAGGUGGUAGUUGUGUUAAAAGAUGUGAGUCCUACUGGAGUACUUACAGCAACUACUCCGAGGGUGAAUAAUACACAGAUGAGGGUUACUACUUUAGCUCAGGAAAUAACUAAGAGUGUUAAUACAUCAAUACAGACUACUACUUUAGCUAUGUCUCUGAAGGGGUUGAAUGUUACUACAGCAAUGGUGACAGCCUCUACUAUUGUCACUGCAGGAAACAUUACAAGUGAAGAUAGGACAAGGCUAAUUUUGGCUAAUGAAACAGAGACAACAUCUUUGUUGCCUAUGAACUCUGUAAAUGUGACACAGACAUUUGAUAUGACAUCAUUAAAAUUUAAAGAGGGGGUAAAUGUAACUCAGAAGUCUAUGCUAAAGAUAGAGUCUAGUGUGAAGACUAGUAAUGAGACUUUUGAAAUUAGAGAACCAAUGGUGGAUGAUGAGUUUUUUUAUUCUGAUUGGAUAUCAGAAGGUAUGAUUGACCGUUAUCGUGCAUUACAGAAGAGAGAAGCUAAGUGGAAAGCAUAUGGAUUUGAUUCCUCAGCAAUGAAAAUAGCAGACCCAUUUGCGGGGAGAAAUUUAUGGUUUCAGCAGUUGACUCAUUCUGUGAGAUCAGUGGGUAAAGUGGAUGGUCCAUGUAUAGUGAAGGUUCCAGCACCAGGUUCAUGGUCUUUAAUUUUAGAAGCGGUGCCGGAACCAUUAGCUAUCAAAUGUCAAUAUUAUGUAGUAUCGUGGAUGUUAUACCAUCAACACUCGCCACAAAAUAGAUGGAUGGCUAUAUCAUCGAAUUUGUUUAGACCCCAGUUAGAAUGUGCUUGGUUAAGUAACUUGCCAUACAUAAAUUUACUUGAUCAGCAUGAGGAUGUGAUGACGGCGAUUCCUGAGGCAAUAGAGGUGAAACCAGUGCAGGCUGACAAGUGUUUUUGCUCAAAUAACACUCGUGGAGGUCCAGGGGUGUUUAUGGGAAUAUCAGAGUGUAAGACUUAUAUGAUGACUUUGGGUGAUCGUACAAAGUAUCCUUGGGAAAACUUAUAUGAAGUGGUUUUUCAUUUACCAAAGCGAAAGUCAAGUGUAACUUUAAUGGUAAGGAAUCAAAUUUCACCAGGAAAUGUAACUAUUGGGAAUUUUAAGGACAUUUGGUGGGUUUGUGGUGAUAAAGCUUAUAUAUUUUUGCCAUAUGGAUGGACAGGUUGUUGUUAUAUGGCAACGUUAAAGCUACCGUAUGAAGUUUUUACUGUAGGGAUAGGACAAGAUCCUCGUGAGAACUCAUCUAGUGGUCAUUUGGGAAAUAGGAGGAAAAGAGAGAUGGCAAAAUUUCAUGACUUGGAAGCCUAUCAUUGGAGAAUAAGUCUUGGAGAGAAGUGGGGAAUUGGAAUAUUUCCAUGGUAUGGUGUGACGUUUUUGGCUGAUCAUAUUGAUAAUAUUACUUACACAUUACAAGGUUUUGCAAAUGAGACAAUAAAAGGUUUUGAAUAUUUGUCCAAUACUCAAAAGAGUCAUAGAUUGACAUUGUUGAAACAUGAUAUGGUGCUUGAUUACAUUUUAGCUAAACAAGGAGGUCUUUGUGUAGCUUUGAAUUUGACAGGAGACGACUGUUAUACUUUAAUUCCUGAUAGCACUGAUAACAUAACUAAUGUUAUAGAAGCAUUGAAACAUAUAAGAGAUGCAUUUGGUCCUUCUGAGGGAGCUGGAUGGUCAGCUAAUGCUUGGUUGCUAGAGAAGUUGGGUCCGUUGGGGUCAGCUAUAGUUCAGGUUCUGAUAGCAGUGGUUAUAUCAUUGUGUGCAAUGUUUUGUUUUUGUACGCUGAUAUUGACCUGUGCGAAAGCUAUGUUAUUGAAAUGGGUAGGAGUUGUGAUGCCAGGGGAAAAUGGUCAGUUGUCAGUCUUACAGAUGACUGAUAUAGAAGAGGAAGAAGUGCUAACAUCUAAAUUGAUGGAUAAAUAUCCAAUUUGAGUAUUGAGCUUAUUAUAAUCUUGACAUUUAUUCUUGUCUUUUGUCAUUAUGUAAUGGGAUACUUAAUUUCCAUUUAUUUGAUUUAUAACUAAUGUAUUAAUCAAUAUAUUACUGUAUGUCAGUGGUUUUGCAAAAAGAUACUGGCUGGUGCUUUCUUUCUUUCCUCUAGUAUGAGAGAAAAAAGGGGGGAAAGGCCACUGGGAAUGCUGAAGGAACUUGUCCCAACAGAGAGAAUAAAGUGGACUGGAGGAUGUUCCUAUUCACGACAUCAUUGACACUACGAUGCUGUGAUGGACUGUCCAGAGUCAAGGAGGAGCUUCAGUCCAGAUGUUCUACCACAGUCAUCAACACACAUCAGUUCAUCAACCACACAAACAACCACAUCGUCAACUCCUGAAACCACA